rnacentral:tRNA from 1 species
UUCGGGGUAGCUCAGCCGGUAGAGCGGGCGGCUGUUAACCGCAAGGUCGUGGGUUCGAUUCCCACCCCCGGAG